rnacentral:rRNA from 1 species
AUUGAACGCUGGCGGCAUGCCUUACACACGCAAGUCGAACGGUAACAGGUUAAGCUGACGAGUGGCGAACGGGUGAGUAAUGUAUCGGAACGUGCCCAGUCGUGGGGGAUAACUGCUCGAAAGAGCAGCUAAUACCGCAUACGACCUGAGGGUGAAAGCGGGGGAUCGCAAGACCUCGCGCGAUUGGAGCGGCCGAUAUCAGAUUAGGUAGUUGGUGGGGUAAAGGCCCACCAAGCCGACGAUCUGUAGCUGGUCUGAGAGGACGACCAGCCACACUGGGACUGAGACACGGCCCAGACUCCUACGGGAGGCAGCAGUGGGGAAUUUUGGACAAUGGGCGCAAGCCUGAUCCAGCCAUGCCGCGUGCGGGAAGAAGGCCUUCGGGUUGUAAACCGCUUUUGUCAGGGAAGAAAAGGUUCUGGCUAAUACCUGGGACUCAUGACGGUACCUGAAGAAUAAGCACCGGCUAACUACGUGCCAGCCGCCGCGGUAAUAC